rnacentral:rRNA from 1 species
ACCUUCGGGCCUCUUGCCAUCAGAUGUGCCCAGAUGGGAUUAGCUUGUUGGUGAGGUAACGGCUCACCAAGGCGACGAUCCCUAGCUGGUCUGAGAGGAUGACCAGCCACACUGGAACUGAGACACGGUCCAGACUCCUACGGGAGGCAGCAGUGGGGAAUAUUGCACAAUGGGCGCAAGCCUGAUGCAGCCAUGCCGCGUGUAUGAAGAAGGCCUUCGGGUUGUAAAGUACUUUCAGCGGGGAGGAAGGUGUUGUGGUUAAUAACCGCAGCAAUUGACGUUACCCGCAGAAGAAGCACCGGCUAACUCCGUGCCAGCAGCCGCGGUAAUACGGAGGGUGCAAGCGUUAAUCGGAAUUACUGGGCGUAAAGCGCACGCAGGCGGUCUGUCAAGUCGGAUGUGAAAUCCCCGGGCUCAACCUGGGAACUGCAUUCGAAACUGGCAGGCUUGAGUCUUGUAGAGGGGGGUAGAAUUCCAGGUGUAGCGGUGAAAUGCGUAGAGAUCUG